UACGUAGGAGGCAAGCGUUGUCCGGAUUGACUGGGCGUAAAGCGCACGCAGGCGGCCGUGCACGUGGGGUGUGAAAGCUGGCGGCUUAACUGCCAGACGCCACCUCAUACGGCACGGCUCGAGCCCGUGAGAGGUCCACGGAAUUGCCGGUGUAGUGGUGAAAUGCGUAGAGAUCGGCAGGAACACCCAGGGGGAAACCAGUGGACUGGCACGGUGCUGACGCUCAGGUGCGAAAGCGUGGGGAGCGAACCGG
rnacentral:rRNA from 1 species